rnacentral:rRNA from 1 species
AUUGAACGCUGGCGGCAUGCCUAACACAUGCAAGUCGAGCGGAAGCAUGAUCUUGCUUGCUAGAUUUAUCGCUAGUGGCGUACGGGUGAGUAAUACAUCGGCACGUUACCUGUAGGUGAGGAUAACCAUCGGGAAGAAAGACCAAAUCCGUAUUCAACCUGAGGGUGGAAUGUGGUGAUCGCAAACGCUCAUUCUAUAGUCACGUCCGAAUUCUGAUUAGGUAGUUGGUGAGGUAAAGGCACACCAAGGCGACGAUCAGUAGCUGGUCUGAGAGGACGAUCAGCCACACUGGAACUGAGACACGGCCCAGACUCCUACGGGAGGCAGCAGUGGGGAAUUUUGGACAAUGGGCGAAAGCCUGAUCCAGCAAUGCCGCGUGUGUGAAGAAGGUCUUCGGAUUGUAAAGCACUUUUGUACGGGAAGAAAUGGUUCUGGUUAAUACCUGGGGUCGUUGACGGUACCGGAAGAAUAAGCACCGGCUAACUACGUG